UUGUCUUAUAGCUCCUUUAGAAUUUGUCUAGCUGGUUUUCUGGCUUUUGCUAGAAAACUUGC
rnacentral:snRNA from 1 species